GCGCACCACGCCAGUUCAUCAAGGUGCUCUCUUGAGAUAAUUCCUGAUCUUGUCAUGGAGUUCUUCUGUAUCCUUCAACGCUUUUUCAAUCUCGCUCACAUCAAUGGCCUCUGUUCUCUUCCUGGUUAUACAUUAACGAACAGCUAUUUCGGCUUCUUUUUCCAAGCGCUCGAGAUCUUCACUGAAGCCUGUGACGUUUGACAGGAUCUUUUUGAUGUCCUCAAUCAUCUUCUUGACGUCAUCGGGAGAUUUGGGCAGCUGAAUUGACAACACGGCAUUGGCCAGUUUCUCAAUGUCCUCCGGCUUCACCAGCUCAUCUGUUAAGGAUGGCUUUGUGACUUCGCUUACCUCCCCGUCGGUGGAAGGUUCUGGCCCAGAAUAGCGGCUAUCACAGACGACAUCAUCAAUGCUAUCUGCUGGCCAUUCGGGGAUGCCCGGAAACGAGUUGGCACAGUCCUCCGCAAAGUACCGGAAAACCUUCCAGCAACUUGAAGUGGCUGAAACGGACGUGAGGACUGUAGGGCGGCUCGAUCAGGUGACCCGCGCCAGGAUACGAGAGAAGAGUCAGCAGAUGACUGUUUCCAGCUUUCUCCAUCAUCUUUCUUAUCUGAAGAAACAUUAUGGAAAGUUCCUGAAGAAUCACUGACGUAAUGGCCAAACGCUUCCCAUUCAACCCCAUCAUCGGAGUUGAGACGUCCAUGAAGAGUAACCUUAGAGUUAGCAGGCAAGUUUUUAACAUCUAUUUCGAUUUUUGAAUCAAC